AAAAUUUUCAGCACAACCCUGGCCAGCUUGCUUGAGCCCAAAGCCAGCUUAAGAGAGCUGUGGAAUCAACUGUCUUGUAAUGUUUGCAAACUAGAAGAAAGUAGCCCAUGAGCUUUGGCAAAGCACGGAAGUUGUAAUUCUGCGCGCAAGGUAUGCAGUUGAAAAGGACAGAGGCAGUGUGUUUUGAUGAGCGAGGAAUCAGACUUCGGUCCCAGUCCUACAAAACACCGAUCAUCACCUAAGGCAAAUCCUUGGCUUUGCUUUCCUCCAAAGAACCGAGAAGGGGUGACAUGCCAAGCAGCCAUGUAGGAGCCCGUGUGGAAGAGGACAAAACCCCAAUCUGCUCAUGAGUCUGAGCCACUCCCUCAAGACGAAGGUCAGAAACAAAGCAGAUUUGGGAGGCUACAAUCAAGGUCAUUUGAGAAGUAGGACCCAGUGCGGUGCGGGUGUCCACAAAGAAAUUUACAGACGUGGGAAAGGCUAGAUAAUGAGAAUGCUCCAUAAGGAGGCACUGAAUUUCACCAGGGAGAAAUGCAUCUAAGUUGCUUCACAAACGUUAAGAAAUAUACCUACGU
rnacentral:lncRNA from 1 species